ACUCCUACGGGAGGCAUCAGUGGGGAAUAUUGCACAAUGGGCGAAAGCCUGAUGCAGCGAUGCCGCGUGAGGGAAGAAGGUUUUCGGAUUGUAAACCUCUGUCAUAAGGGACGAAAACAGACGGUACCUUAGAAGGAAGCUCCGGCUAACUACGUGCCAGCAGCCGCGGUAAUAC
rnacentral:rRNA from 1 species